UGUGGAUUCUCGUAGUAGUAGUGCUAAUGGAAUCAGGUCAAAGAUUACGAGGAACGAUCGAGGAGAAGUGUAUGUUAUGCUUAUCCUAAGAAGAUUAAGAUGAUUACUUUGUCUGUUGAUCGAAGGAUGAUUGAGAGAUGGUGGUGGAAUAGGGUUUCAGGUUGAUUCUUAAGUUGUUGAUGGUGAUGAUUUUGGUCCUAGAGGCGGCAAUAGUGGAUUAAACUGGAGCUGGGUGUAAUCCCUAUGAUGAAUUUGUAAAUUGGAGCCAUUAUACUGAGGCUAAUAACCAUUUUUCCAUCUUUUUUUG